CAGAAAAAAAAUUUCCUACAUUUAUAUAUACAUACAUAUAUACAUAUCUUUUUUUUUUGGGUUGCGUUUUCUGUUUGAUUUGCGGAAGAACGUAAGACAGAGGGAUCCAGAGAGCGGGGAGAGGGGCGCAGGCGAGACGAGACCCAGUUUGCAAAGUAAACAAACGGCAAAUGAAACGCCGCCGCCGACGUCCGUCGACUGAAACUAUUAAAAAUGAAAUGGGCUGUGCGAGAGCAGCACCGCAGCAGAAUCCCCCCAUCCGCUCUCCUCUCCCUUUCCCACUGACCAGUUGAUGGAGGCAAAGGCAAAGGGACAGUGGGCCCCACAGACGAAGCAGCCGCCGUGGGCCUUUUGCAUCUAUAAUGCAUAUGGGCACGCUGAAUGGGGUGAGGGGGGUUGUUUUCUAUUUACUCACAUGCAUACGUACAUACAUACAUAUGUAUGUAUGUUUGCAUAUACGCAACAGGAAACUCUGGUGAUUUAAAAUCACUUUUUACGAACCCCAAAGAUAUGUUCAUUUGCAUACGCUUUGCACAUCGCCAGGUUUUUUGCGAGCAUUCCACCCAAACUUGAAGCAUUAUGAUGACCCAUAUACAGUCGUAUACAUAUGUGCCCAACAGUACGCAAUGGAGAAGUGCGUUUCGAACUCCUAUUAACCGUUUAAGAACCCAACUAAAUCGGUUUUGUUCUGUGCAACAAAUACUUCCCGCAUCACAUUCAUGAAACGCACUGUAUCGCCGGUAUAUAUUAUAUGGGCCACACAGAUAACUGCACUUGACGCACUGCAAUAACUUGGCUAAAAGAGCGCAAUGAGCCCGGGUGUUUAUGAACUAUGCAAAUGACAUCAAAUCGCUGGCACUUUCUACCUGCCACACAUUCCGCAUUUAAACACUUUAAAGACCUUUUGAUUGCUCGGAACGAUCGAUGGAUCGAUUGAUUGUGAAAGGGCUUCACAUGGAGCGAGUCCCCCAAGUGCAAGGUUGAAACUCUGGCCAUGAUUGAUGGACGCAAUUGGAAGUGGAAGCCCCUUCAAGUGGCGCAAAAUGAGUGGGAAUUUGUCUGAGAAUCCAUGUAAAUGCCAGGUCAUAAGUCAGGCAAGUCCUUGCGAGAGCUUUCUCCUUGAGUGACCGGCAAUUACCAUUCUGGGGACAUCCUUUAAUUUGAGCCUCCUUCGUUUCAUCCUGCCGUCCACCAGUACUGAAAAUCCCAUGGAAAGUAACUCCCUCCAUCCCAAAAUUCUUUUUCCCACUGGUUAAACAACAGAUGAAUGCUUUGUGUCCGUCGCUUGCUUAAUUUGUUUUUCUUUCGAGUUUAAUUUGAAACCUGGACAACAACGUCUUAGCCUUGGCUAUUAGGUUCUGGCCAACGCAACAGUUUGCUUAGUGCAAAGACCAAAAGCAAAUUUUCCUUUCACUUUUCCGACGGAGCAGGAAGUGGGCGUGGCGGGCGGUGUGGAAGGUGGAAAACUGCUGGCGAUGCGUGCUUGGAAAAUGUGUUUAUUUAGGAUAACUUAACUGAUUGUUGUUACUGCUCUCGUGCCCAUUCUGCUCGCCAACGCGUCAACUCUUGUUGUUCUUGGCCAGUUGACAAUUGGCCCCAGAGAAAAGCGACGAGGGAAAUGCGGUGGGGUGGUGUAAAAAAAAGUGGGGGCGGCCAGCAGGACAAUGGACACUCGAAGGCGCGCCACGUGCAAACAAAGCGCAUUGUGGGAAAAGCAGCAGGGCGGAGGAACAAAAGAGGAACAAGUUGGGAGCUACAUUCUCGGAGUUUCGAGACUAUCUGGAUACCCGGGACUCCAAGGAAACUAUAAACACACAACGACACACACCAUUGUUCUCAAACUUUCAGUGGUGUCCAGAACUCUUGGUUAAAGCAAAGUACAUUUUGAAUUUGGA